UACGUAGGUGGCAAGCGUUGUCCGGAUUUACUGGGCGUAAAGAGCGCGCAGGCGGUCGUUCAAGUCGCGUGUGAAAGCCCCCGGCUCAACUGGGGAGGGUCACGCGAUACUGAUCGACUCGAAGGCAGGAGAGGGUAGUGGAAUUCCCGGUGUAGUGGUGAAAUGCGUAGAUAUCGGGAGGACACCAGUGGCGAAGGCGACUACCUGGCCUGUUUCUUGACGCUGAGGCGCGAAAGCUAGGGGAGCAAACCGG
rnacentral:rRNA from 1 species